rnacentral:rRNA from 1 species
AACGAACGCUGGCGGCAGGCUUAACACAUGCAAGUCGAGCGCCCUGCAAGGGGAGCGGCAGACGGGUGAGUAACGCGUGGGAACGUACCCUUUUCUACGGAAUAACGCAGGGAAACUUGUGCUAAUACCGUAUACGCCCUUUUGGGGAAAGAUUUAUCGGGGAAGGAUCGGCCCGCGUUGGAUUAGCUAGUUGGUGGGGUAAAGGCCUACCAAGGCGACGAUCCAUAGCUGGUCUGAGAGGAUGAUCAGCCACAUUGGGACUGAGACACGGCCCAAACUCCUACGGGAGGCAGCAGUGGGGAAUAUUGGACAAUGGGCGCAAGCCUGAUCCAGCCAUGCCGCGUGAGUGAUGAAGGCCCUAGGGUUGUAAAGCUCUUUCACCGGAGAAGAUAAUGACGGUAUCCGGAGAAGAAGCCCCGGCUAACUUCGUG